AAAGAGCAUCACUCAGAGGGAUUGGACGAAAUGAAGCUUAUGGAGGAUUUGAGAACCUAACCCGCAGCCUUGAACUAGUUCAUGGAGGAGCCUCAAGAGGUACUGGCCAGGCAAGCCCCCCUUUCCAGGGCGAAGAGCCGGGCGUGAGCGGAGGGCAGCCGCAGCAGGAGUGGACAUGAACGCUGGUUUUCAACGAGAGCAGCGUUUUAGUUUUGGUCAUCGGAAGUGGUGCCUGCAGCACAGAAGAGCGUGAAUCGCCCUCCACGGCCGUUGAUCUCCAGCACGGGAAUAAAGGGGAAAACAGGCGACGGAGCCACCUGCAGCAUCCAGCGUGGCUUCUCUCGUGCUGGGACCAGGGAUGACUGGGCCACGCACACAGACGUCUGCCGCCUUCAGCAGUUCGCAUAGCACACAGGGGACUCAUGGGGGGCCACUUGUCACUGCCAACUGAAACAAUACGAUGGCAACACUGACGUCCUUCAUGACGUUUCCACGACAGACAUUCAGGCAGAAAGUGCUGACGCAUUUUCUGUCUGCAAAGUAAAGGGCCAUGCCUCACCGAAGUGACUAGCUCAAGCCCUGAUGACUUGCUCUGAGUCCACUCACAGCCAGUGACACUUGCAAAAAAACUCCCAAAGCCGUCUUGGGUUUGGCUUCCUCCGCUCUUGACCAAUGUGGCCAAAGCCAGACACCUUCUCGGGACACUUGGAUUACCCAUAAAUGCAGCCUGCCCUGACCCUCCCUGAAUAGCAUCUGAAGUCUCUGUGG